CUACGGGUGGCAGCAGUGGGGAAUAUUGCACAAUGGGGGAAACCCUGAUGCAGCAACGCCGCGUGAGCGAUGAAGGCCUUCGGGUCGUAAAGCUCUGUCCUAAGGGAAGAAUUUUGACGGUACCUUAGGAGGAAGCCCCGGCUAACUACGUGCCAGCAGCCGCGGUAAUACGUAGGGGGCAAGCGUUAUCCGGAAUCAUUGGGCGUAAAGGGUGCGUAGGCGGUUAUGCAAGUUAGGGGUGAAAGGCUACGGCUCAACCGUAGUAAGCCUUUAAAACUGCAUAACUUGAGUGCAGGAGAGGAGAGUGGAAUUCCUAGUGUAGCGGUGAAAUGCGUAGAUAUUAGGAGGAACACCAGUGGCGAAGGCGACUCUCUGGACUGUAACUGACGCUGAGGCACGAAAGCGUGGGGAGCGAACAGGAUUAGAUACCCUCGUAGUC
rnacentral:rRNA from 1 species